rnacentral:rRNA from 1 species
CGCUAGCCCUUUGCUUAACCCCUGCAAGUCCAGGGGCAGCGGGGUUGUACCAAUACGACUGCCGGCGACCGGCGCACGGGUGAGUAACACGUAUCCCACCUUCCGGUUACUCGGGAAUAGCCUUUCCAAAGAAAGAUUAAUGCCCGAUGGUAUAACAAGUCUGCAUGGACUUGUUAUUAAAGAUUUAUCGGUAACCGAUGGGGAUGCGUUCCAUUAGGCAGUUGGCGGGGUAACGGCCCACCAAACCGACGAUGGAUAGGGGUUCUGAGAGGAAGGUCCCCCACAUUGGAACUGAGACACGGUCCAAACUCCUACGGGAGGCAGCAGUGAGGAAUAUUGGUCAAUGGGCGAGAGCCUGAACCAGCCAAGUAGCGUGAAGGAUGACUGCCCUAUGGGUUGUAAACUUCUUUUAUACGGGAAUAACAAGCGGCACGUGUGCCGUUCUGCAUGUACCGUAUGAAUAAGCAUCGGCUAACUCCGUGCCAGCAGCCGCGGUAAUACGGAGGAUGCCAGCGUUAUCCGGAUUUAUUGGGUUUAAAGGGAG